rnacentral:lncRNA from 1 species
GAAAGCUGGAAGUGUGCGAGGGGGGGUGGGGUGGGGUGGAAAUAGCGGCUGCUUCUUUUCCAGGGAUUUAUUUAAUGGGGAUGUGUUCAAGGCAAGAGCGAAUUCAGAAGGAUAUCGACGUCGUGAUCCAGAAGUCCAGAGCUGAGGACUGCCUGUUUGCAGAUACUGUACAGGACAACCUGCUUCUCAUAUUCUCUCUGUGAAUUUCCAAGACGACUGGGAUUUUCUUCCUCCUCUGCCACCCUGAACAGCAAGACCAAUACUACUUCCUGUAUUUCCUCCUCUUCAGCCUACUUGUGAAGACAAGGAUGAAGACCUCCAUGAUGAGCCAUCUCCACUUAAUGACUGUCUCACAUUGGCUGGCAACUUGUUCCAGUUUGUGUCUUCUAGAUUACAAUAAUUCCAUGUAAAGAUGAUGCUGGCACAAGGCUUUCAACCCAUCCCCUCUUCUGACCCGGAAAAUAAAGACAUCCUACCUUUGGGCCUUUUAGAACAGGUAUCCAGAGAUUUUACUUCUCCUAUGCUAGGCAGGGUCUAUGCCCACAACAUCAGCAGGAAGCAGUUAUAGAAGAUGAAACUCCACCCUUCUGUAAGCCCCUUAAGAUUAAGGAGGAGUAUAUAAUCUCUGAUGGGGAAAUGAGGUAGGAGACCGGAAGGACUUAUUUUCCAGUCACAAUCCCAUUGAACAGAGCAGGAUCUGGUCAAAAUGGCGCAGUGAAGAAGCCUGCUGAAACCAGCAGAUGAUGAUGAAAGUGACCUCUAGUUGCCGUCACUGCUUAUGAGCAUAAAGACACUACCACUGGGACCAUGGCCAGUUUACAAAUGUCAUGGCAACACACAUUGGCAAUGGCCUUGAAGUUACUUUAUAUGGUUCUGGAAACUCCCUGCCCCUUUUCCAGAAAGUUCUGAAUAACCUACCUCUUAAUUGGCAUGCAAUUAAAAGUGGGUCUAAAUACAACUAGCUAGCAGCCCACAGGCACCAACUCUGGGCACACUGCCUAUGGGUUAGCCCUGCUCUGCAAGAAGCAGCACCAGUUCAAUAAAAGUUGCUUUCUCUCA